AGUGAACGCUGGCGGUAGGCCUAACACAUGCAAGUCGAACGGCAGCACAGGAGAGCUUGCUCUCUGGGUGGCGAGUGGCGGACGGGUGAGGAAUACAUCGGAAUCUACCUUUUCGUGGGGGAUAACGUAGGGAAACUUACGCUAAUACCGCAUACGACCUUCGGGUGAAAGCAGGGGACCUUCGGGCCUUGCGCGGAUAGAUGAGCCGAUGUCGGAUUAGCUAGUUGGCGGGGUAAGGGCCCACCAAGGCGACGAUCCGUAGCUGGUCUGAGAGGAUGAUCAGCCACACUGGAACUGAGACACGGUCCAGACUCCUACGGGAGGCAGCAGUGGGGAAUAUUGGACAAUGGGCGCAAGCCUGAUCCAGCCAUACCGCGUGGGUGAAGAAGGCCUUCGGGUUGUAACGCCCUUUUGUUGGGAAAGAAAAGCAACCAGUUAAUACCUGGUUGUUCUGACGGUACCCAAAGAAUAAGCACCGGCUAACUUCGUGCCAGCCGCCGCCGUAAUAC
rnacentral:rRNA from 1 species